GUUUGGACUAGGGGGGCAUCUCGCUUUACCGAAUUCAGACAAACUCCGAAUGCCAGAUAUUUAUACACGGGAGUCAGACUGCGAGUGAUAAGAUCCGGAGUCAAAAGGGAAACAGCCCAGACCACCAGCUAGGGUCCCAAAGUAAUCGUUAAGUGGUAAAGGAUGUGGGAUUGCACAGACAACCAGGAUGUUGGCUUAGAAGCAGCCACCAUUUAAAGAGUGCGUAAUAGCUCACUGGUCGAGUGAUCCUGCGCCGAAAAUUUCCGGGGCUAAAACGUACUACCGAAGCUACGGCAUCAUUUAUGAUGGGUAGGGGAGCUUCGUAUGCAGGCUGAAGCAUGACCGUAAGGACAUGUGGACAGUAUACGAGUGAGAAUGUUGGCAUGAGUAGCGAGACGUGGGUGAGAAUCCCACGGGUCGUAAACCCAAGGUUUCCAGGGGAAGGUUCGUCCGCCCUGGGUUAGUCGGGACCUAAGCCGAGGCCGAAAGGCGUAGGUGAUGGACAACAGGUUGAUAUUCCUGUACCGCCAAUAAGCGUUUGAGAGAUGGAGUGACACAGUAGGAUAAGCUAACCGUACUGUUGGUUAUGUACGGCUAAGCAUUGAGGCAGUCUAAAUAGGCAAAUCCGUUUAGACAAUGCUAGGAUGUGAUAGGGAAGCCCUUCGGGGCGAAGUAGCUGAUUUCACACUGUCAAGAAAAGCUUCUAUCGAGUUUAAAGGCGCCCGUACCGUAAACCGACACAGGUGGGUGAGGAGAGUAUCCUAAGGCCAGCGAGAGAACUAUUGUUAAGGAACUCGGCAAAAUGACCCCGUAACUUAGGGAGAAGGGGUGCCUGUCUAUGACAGGCCGCAGAGAAUAGGCCCAAGCGACUGUUUACCAAAAACACAGGUUUCUGCUAAGUCGCAAGACGAUGUAUAGGAGCUGACGCCUGCCCGGUGCUGGAAGGU
rnacentral:rRNA from 1 species